GGUCUCAUGGUGUAACGGUUAGCACUCUGGACUCUGAAUCCAGCAAUCCGAGUUCAAAUCUCGGUGAGACGUCG
rnacentral:tRNA from 1 species